UGAGGAACAUGACCUUCGGCGGGGGAUAGCCGGCCCAACGGCCGGGUAAUACCGCGUACGACCUUUUGGGGACAUCCCCGACUGGUGAAAGCAGCAAUGCGCCGAUGGAGUGCCUCGCGGCCUAUCAGCUAGUUGGUGGGGUAACGGCCUACCAAGGCAACGACGGGUAGCUGGUCUGAGAGGACGAUCAGCCACACUGGGACUGAGACACGGCCCAGACUCCUACGGGAGGCAG
rnacentral:rRNA from 1 species